GUGUCAGCAGCCGCGGUAAUACAGAGGGGGCCAGCGUUAUUCGGAAUUAUUGGGCGUAAAGGGCGCGUAGGCGGCCAUGCGUGUCUCCCGUGAAAUCCCUCGGCUUAACUGAGGACGUGCGGGGGAAACUGCAAGGCUCGAGUCCGGGAGAGGGGGGUGGAAUUCCCAGUGUAGCGGUGAAAUGCGUAUAUAUUGGGAGGAACACCGGUGGCGAAGGCGGCCCCCUGGACCGGAACUGACGCUGAGGCGCGAAAGCGUGGGGAGCAAACGGGAUUAGAUACCCCCGUAGUCC
rnacentral:rRNA from 1 species